AGAACCAGGGAAGCUGACUGUGUAACUCCUAGUUGAGUGUGAAGACCUGAGGUAUCAGGGGUAGGGGUUGCUCUGCUUGUGUAAGUCCCAUAGUGUGAAGGCCAGAGAACCAAGAGAUGGUCAAGAAGAGAGAGUAAGUGUCCAAUGUCCCAGCUCAAGAAGAGAGAAAACUUUUGUGGAUAGCUAAGUUACUGCUAGCCAUCUGAUUAUAGCAAUGGCUUCCAGGAGCAUCACGACCUGUGCAGACUCCCCAGCAUCAUAACAGGAAGGUCCCACGAUCACGAGCACAUUGCCUUCAGCAUCCAGCACUGAAUAUGGUGAAUUGCACUCUGAAGAGCUUCCUAAGCUUGUAAGAAAGUGAUUCUGAAAAGCUCAACAUUUUGGUAGAAUGGAGAGAUUUGACAUUGCUUCUGCUCCAAAAGCAAAAGACUUGGGAAGGGCACCCUGGGAGUUGAGAACAUCCACCACAGAGAGGCCUGGCGUAAAGGAGAUGGGACUCACACCCAAGAGGAUGCAUUUCCAUACACCCAUUUCUGAAAUAUGAAGAGGUGUCCAGUCUGUUUGAUUCAUAGCUGCCUGUUCCACAACUGCAGAUACAGUAAUUGAUAACCGAGACCAAGUUCUCAUCCCCAUCUCCCAGGGCUGGAACUGGGGCUGUGUUUGGUUCUCAUAAGAUCAGUUCCAGUUUUAGAAACUGAGUAAAUUGUGGAGUAAAUAUUGCCAAGUGAUGGCUUUCUGCUGUAGGCGUGGGUCGCUGUUGGCCAUUUGCCUCAGCAUAUCACCAGCAAUGCACCUCAUUGCAUCACUGCAUUUCCAAUUACACCUCAAAGCACCACUGGUCCCCUGUCCACCCUCUGCCCUGCAGAGGUGGGUGUUCAGGGAGACAGAUCCAAAAUCUGGGCUCAGAAGAUGGAAAUGCCAACUGCUCUCAAUUUGAGAGUGGGGAUGAGACUUUUUGACUCAACUCUGGUUAAUUCAGCCAUGCUGUCAGAGCUGCUUUGAUGCAAGGACAUCUGAAUGCUAUCUGAAUGCUGCCCCUAAAAUAACAAAUUAAAAACAACAACAACAACAAAAA
rnacentral:lncRNA from 1 species